rnacentral:rRNA from 1 species
UACGGAGGGUGCAAACGUUGCUCGGAAUCAUUGGGCGUAAAGCGCACGUAGGCGGAUUGUUAAGUCGGAUGUGAAAUCCCUCGGCUUAACCGAGGAAGUGCAUUCGAAACUAGCAAUCUUGAGUACGGAAGAGGGUCGCGGAAUUCCCGGUGUAGAGGUGAAAUUCGUAGAUAUCGGGAGGAACACCAGUGGCGAAGGCGGCGACCUGGGCCGAUACUGACGCUGAGGUGCGAAAGCGUGGGGAGCAAACAGGAUUAGAAACCCUAGUAGUCC